rfam:Schistosoma haematobium scaffold605_4, whole genome shotgun sequence.
AUCUAGAUGACGAGUCCCAAAUAGGUUGGAACGUGCGUCCUGGAU